UAAAUCAGAAGUAACUGUCUGUACUGAUGAUAGGUGUUGAAGAUGGAAAUUAAGGAAGCUUUUUCGGACUGCUGGACCGGGAGACAGGAGGAUCAAGGAGUCUUGGUGACAAUGGGUAGUUCUUGAACAGCUGACAAAGGCUGAAGCACUCCUGCCAGAAAACACUUCUGAUGAAAUACAUUUUCCAGGAAAUGUGCAAGUAACUUUCCUGCUGUAGUGCAUCUAGGCCUGGAAACUUGAGCUGAGCAGAGGAAAAUGGACGAGAGAUGUUGACAGCUUUGCCAAAGGGACAAGACAGGAUUUCCAGUCACAAAUUUACGCAGAACUGUACCAUGGAUAAGGCUAGUAGAUACACCAUUCAAUUUUGUAUGGUUCCUAACAGCAGAAACUUUACAAAUCUUUCAGGAUGCCCUAGACAUGGAGGCUGGAAGACCCUGUACGUCUAA
rnacentral:lncRNA from 1 species